GACGUAGGGCGCGAGCGUUGUCCGGAUUUAUUGGGCGUAAAGAGCUCGUAGGCGGCUUGUUGCGUCGUCCGUGAAAACCUGUGGCUCAACCACAGGCUUGCGGUCGAUACGGCCGGGCCUGGAGGGGGUUGAGGGGACCUGGGAACUUCCGGGUGGUCGAGCGGUGAAAUGCGGUUGAAGAUCGGAAGGAACGCCCGUGGCGAAAGCGGAAGGUCCCGUGGGCCCUUAAGCUGGACGCUGGACGACGCGAAAGCCAGGGGAGCGAACGGGAUUAAGAA
rnacentral:rRNA from 1 species